GAUGAACGCUGGCGGCGUGCUUAACACAUGCAAGUCGAACGAAGCACUUUAUUUGAUUUCCUUCGGGACUGAUUAUUUUGUGACUGAGUGGCGGACGGGUGAGUAACGCGUGGGUAACCUGCCUUGUACAGGGGGAUAACAGUUGGAAACGGCUGCUAAUACCGCAUAAGCGCACAGCAUCGCAUGAUGCAGUGUGAAAAACUCCGGUGGUAUAAGAUGGACCCGCGUUGGAUUAGCUAGUUGGUGAGGUAACGGCCCACCAAGGCGACGAUCCAUAGCCGAACUGAGAGUGUGACCGGCCACAUUGGGACUGAGACACGGCCCAAACUCCUACGGGAGGCAGCAGUGGGGAAUAUUGCACAAUGGGCGAAAGCCUGAUGCAGCGACGCCGCGUGAGCGAAGAAGUAUUUCGGUAUGUAAAGCUCUAUCAGCAGGGAAGAUAAUGACGGUACCUGACGAAGAAGCACCGGCUAAAUACGUG
rnacentral:rRNA from 1 species